rnacentral:lncRNA from 1 species
CAAGAGCAAAGGGGAACUAAAUCCGAUAAAGGGAAGGAAAAAGUGGUCGAAUAGCCAUCGGAAUCGUUCGAUAACAUCCGAGGUAAGUUUUAAGUGUUUAAACGUUGAGUAAAUUCAAUUAUAAUAGGACAUGAUGAGUUGAUUUAAUAAGAUAAGAUGUGGCCAUGAUAUGUUCUAAGCUCAAAUGGUAAGUUCUUAAGUGUUUGAGCUUGGGAAUUUAAGG